rnacentral:rRNA from 1 species
CAGGUAGGAUUACCCGCUGAACUUAAGCAUAUCAAUAAGCGGAGGAAAAGAAACUAACAAGGAUUCCCCUAGUAACUGCGAGUGAACCGGGAAAAGCUCAAAUUUUGAAUCUGGCGAUCUUUAUGGNCGUCC